AAAGUAAAAUAUGUGUUUGUGUGUGUGCAGGUUCUGGGAUUACAGUAGGAACCAGCCUCUUCUGGACACUGUGGAGCAUCACUCAGAGUUCGUCUGUGGACUCGACUUUAACCUGCACGUCCCCAACCAGGUGGUGGACUGUUCCUGGGAUGAGACGGUGAAGAUCUACACGCCUGCCUGUCUGUCUGCUGGAACGCACAGUGCGGCGUCGUAAAAGACGGGCUUCCCCGAACCCACUGGUUCCCAAACUGUUUCUGUUGGUUCCCUUUUUGUGGAUCAAGUUAUUUCUCUGAGCAUAAAAAAACAUUUACUUAACUCACUUUUUGCUAAAUAACAUUUCCAUUCCCUGGAGACUUAUCCGAACCACAGACCCAAAUAUCUGCUUUUUCCAGAUGGGAGAAAUUGUUUCCAUCCCCAAUUAAAGCUGCAGUAGGUGACAUUGAUGAAAAUAUUUUUUGUCAUAUUUGCUGAAACUACAUCCUGACAGUCGAACAUGAGACAGAUAUUCUGUGAAAAUAUCAAGUUCCUCUGGUUCCUCCUGGUGCUCCUGAUGGGAUUAUCUGGGAAUGAGACUCAAUAAUCAACUGUCUUUAUAAUACUUUUAUAUAUCUACUGCAGCUUUAAUGCCUGAUCUUUGUCUGAAAUGUGUCCCCGAAGACAGACCUAACCCUAACCAGGUCGCAUUAGGACCAGGUCUUUAGCCCCUGACCUGUCCCCACAAGGUCAGAGUGUAUACUGCGACGGGUGCACAAUAAGUAACAAAAACAUGUUCACAAGCACACAUAUUUUUGGAAUUUCCAUCAUUGUUUGAAACAUUUUUAUUGAAUAUGAAGUUUCAGGGAGAAAGAGCAUUAAGUGUCACAUCACACAGCUGAUCAGGGCUGGGCAAUUGAUCAGGCUGUGGAGCAAGAGCCACCCCAUUAUCCCUGUCCUAAGGUUACAGUGAACAUACUGCUUUCAUAUGAAACCAGACCUAACAAUUCCAUCAGUACGGCAAUGCACCAAAGUUAGCCUAAAGUGUGGCGACAGAAAAAGUGGUAUGGCCAUUUUCAAAGAGAGGAAAGAAAGAAAUUAAAAAAGGGUUUUUUCUUUCUUUCUAUGAAACGUGUUUAUGUGUGUUCUGAAGUCUGAACCCUGGAAUCAACAGUUCACCUUCUCGUUAUAAAUACUGACUCUUAUCAGCAGCAGCUCUGGGAACCUUCCACCUGUUUAAUCUCAGACUGAGAACUCACUCACACUCACAGUGGAGAUCCAAUCAAUGAUCUUUCAUUUACUCUGAAGACAACAGACAAGUACAAUGUGUCAGCUCCUGUAACAGCAUGAAAUAAAGUCUCUGGUUAGUGUUGUGUUCACUUUACUGUGAGUGUAACGUCCUAUAAUGAUCUAUAAUAUCUAUAAUGUCUAUAAUGUCUGCAUCUGUUUAUUCUGUUUAAGACUAAAUGUCAGCUGUGACUGAUGUGAAAUGUCAGUGCCUUUAAUAAAGAUCAAUAUCAGCAA